rnacentral:rRNA from 1 species
UGGUGGAGUGAUUUGUCUGGUUAAUUCCGAUAACGAACGAGACCUUAACCUGCUAAAUAGCCAGGCCGGCUUUUGCUGGUCGCUGGCUUCUUAGAGGGACUGUCAGUGUCUAACUGACGGAAGUUUGAGGCAAUAACA